GUUUUUAACUGGGAUGGAAUGAAAUUGCUAUGUUUCUUGCUUUGCUCACACUCCUGUUGCUAGUGGUUAUAUCUAUGAGUGAAGUGGCAGUACUCUUGAAUGGAUGUUUAUGUCUGCUUUUCUUGUGGUAGAAUGUAUCUUCUGAUAGACGAUCCAGGAAGAAUUGAUUUAGAGAAUUUUGCUUUGGACUGCAGAUCCUGAUGAUCCAAUGAAAACUACUGAUCAGACCAGGCGUCUUGGGCUAAUAGUUUGCAGGGGAACAGCCGUUAUGCUUGUUUCGCCAACUGACGGUACAGAUGAAAUAGCCAACCCUUUCAUCCAGCCAGAUGGGGCUUAGAAACUUACCAAUCUGGUGUCGUUUUGCUUUGAAUUGGUAUGCUGUUGUCUGUUAAUCCAUUACAAUUUACGACACUGGAUCUGUAGGGAACAUGAUAUUUGAUAAGCUUGAGAUUACUGUACUUGUUUCCCUAGGAUUUGAUCAUCCAUAAAAGCAAUCGUUCAAACUAUUUUUUUACUGUCCUUUUUGUUUUUAACACUCAAAAAUUAAUUGUCUUCUAUGUGUGGGACGUUAUCUGGGAAAA